AACGGCCGCGGUAUCCUAACCGUGCGAAGGUAGCGUAAUCACUUGUUCUUUAAAUGAGGACUAGUAUGAAUGGCACCACGAGGGUUAAGCUGUCUCCUUUUUCUAAUCAGUGAAACUAAUCUCCCCGUGAAGAAGCGGGGAUUAUACUAUAAGACGAGAAGACCCUAUGGAGCUUAAAACAAAUUAACACUUGCUUCUAUCCAUCUUUACUCCUGAACUAACACAUAAAAUAUAGCAUCGUUGAUUAAUAGUUUUCGAUUGGGGUGAUCAUGGAGUAAAAACCAACCUCCACGACGAAAAGGAACACUUCCCUGAGCUAAAAGCUACAACUUUAAGCACUAAAAAAUUAACGCACUUUGACCCAAAUUUUUGAGCAACGAACCAAGUUACCCUAGGGAUAACAGCGCAAUCCAUUUCAAGAGCCCCUAUCGACAAAUGGGUUUACGACCUCGAUGUUGGAUCAGGGUAUCCCAGUGGUGCAGCCGCUACUAAAGGUUCGUUUGUUCAACGAUUAAAACCCUACGUGAUCUGAGUUCAGACCGGAGAAAUCCAGGUCAGUUUCUAUCUAUAAAGGGCUUUUUCUAGUACGAAAGGACCGAAAAAGCAUGGCCAAUGAUCAAUUAAGCCAUAUAAAUUACUCAUGUUUUCAACUCAAUUAGAAACAAACCUACCACAAACCUCAAAAAAAGAGAAGUUAACGUAGCAAAACCUGGCCCUGCAA
rnacentral:rRNA from 1 species